UACUUUUACUUUCCGCGGUAAGAGUGUUUGCAUUAGCUGAAAAUAGAAAGGUUACAUUACAUACAUUACAACUGCUGCUUGUGUCAUGUAUCUCUGUCCAACAAUCACAAAAAGAUGACAAUCUCUUCCACUUUCUCGACUCAAGCAAACGCGCUUCUCAGAAAGAACUUAACCUUCCAGAAACGCAACAACAAGACAAACAUUCGCCUCAUUCUAUUCCCGUUCAUCCUCUGCGUCUUUCUCUUUCUCCUCCAACCUUUAAUCGACAACCAAUUCGAUAAACCCCAAUUCAAAUGCGGUUGCGGUUGUAUCAACAACACCACAACGUGUAGCGACUCAGAGAAGCUUUGUGGAAUUCAGUAUUCCGAUCAGAAUCAAGUUUUGGCCUGUGCUAUUCCUAGUCCACCGGAAUGGCCUCCUCUCUUGCAACUUCCGCCCGGAAAGCCGUGGUAUCCGCCGGUUUAUACCAUGCUAUUCACAGCUGAGAAUCACUCCUUUGGACAGAUUGUGUCUGACAAUAUGUUUCCGACUGUUUUAACUAUGGAUUACUCUGAUAUCAUGGCUAGUUUGGCAUCAAAUAUGCUGGGAUCUGAGGCAAAGCCGGAGAGCAACAAUUUUCUUGAACCUGCUUUCACUUCUGAUCUUCCCAUUUAUUAUGUACAAACUAAGUGCCCUCAGGACGACCUUCUAUUCCCACCAAUUUACUCGGUAGGAGGAAUUGAUGCGCAGCAGUAUAUGGAAACAUUUCCAUUCACGAUAGCAGGCUUUCACGUGGAUAUAGAAAUCGGAUGUGCGGAUGGUAUAAAUUUAUGGCGUAACAGUUCUUCUGAGAUCAAUAAUGAGUUAUAUGAAGGUCAUGAAAGAAGUUCCCCACAGCGGAUCAAUCCAAUAUUUUCAGCUUUUGAUUUUCUAAAUUCAAAUGAGAACGGAUUCAAUGCUACUGUAUGGUACAAGUCAACCUACAAGGAUGUCACUAAUUUUGGUCCUACUGCAUUGUUGCGAAUUCCUCGUUCUGUAAAUUUGAUAUCAAAUGCCUACCUGCAAUUUCUGCGUGGACCUGGUACCAAAAUGUUAUUUGAGUUUGUUAAGGAAAUGCCAAAAUCUGAGACCCCAUUUAGGAUUGAGAUAGCUUCUCUCCUGGGCGGUCUAUUCUUUACAUGGGUCGUCCUGCAACUCUUUCCGGUAAGUGCAGAAAUAUCUAAGGAAAUUUAUCAGCAUGAAAUACAUUGUGUAAUUAGAGAAUUUAACAGAACUGAGAGGACAGUACUGACAUUGUAUUGCAGAAUUGAUAACUACUGGCCAAUUUUGAAAUUUGAAAUAGCUGUGAUAUUCUUACCUAUGUCUAAAUCAGCUAUAUAUGUCUGUAAACAUGAUGUUGUUCUGACAUCACUGGUUUAUGAGAAGCAACAAAAAUUAAGAAUCAUGAUGAAAAUGCAUGGUCUUGGGGAUGGGCCAUAUUGGAUGAUUACAUAUGGUUAUUUUCUUGCCUUAUCAGUGAUCUACAUGUUGUGUUUUGUGACAUUUGGCUCAGUAUUAGGACUGAAAUUCUUUACCUUGAAUGACUACAGCAUCCAAUUCGUGUUUUAUUUCAUCUAUAUAAACUUACAAAUUACAUUGGCAUUUCUGUUGGCUUCCUUUUUUUCAAGUGUCAAGACUGCUACAGUAACCGCAUAUAUAGGUAUCUUUGGAACCGGGCUAUUAUCCGGGUUUCUAUUCCAAUUCUUUAUCCAAGAUUCGUCAUUUCCAAGAGGAUGGAUCAUUUUUAUGGAGUUGUAUCCCGGGUUUGCUUUAUAUCGUGGGUUGUAUGAGUUUGCACAGUCUGCCACCAGUGGAAGUAAUGUGGGGACUGAUGGUAUGCGGUGGCAUGAUCUGAGUGAUAGCGCAAAUGGCAUGAAAGAGGUCUUAAUUAUAAUGUUUGCUGAGUGGAUAGUAGUACUUUUUGUUGCUUAUUACAUCGAUCAAGUGUUUUCGACAGGAAGUGGAAAAAGGCCACUUUUCUUCUUGAAAGGAUUUCAAAAAAAACCUCUUUCAUCAUGUAAGACGCUCAGUAUUCAAAGGCAGGGGUCAAAAGUUUUGGUUCAGAUGGAGAAACCAGAUGUCAUGCAAGAGAGGGAGAAGGUGGAGCAGCUGCUACUUGAGCCAACCAUUGAUCAUGCAAUUGUUUGUGACAACCUAAAAAAGUUCUAUCCGGGAAGGGAUGGAAAUCCAGGGAAAUUUGCAGUGAGAGAAUUGUCCCUUGCUGUGCCUCGAGGGGAAUGCUUCGGUAUGCUUGGUCCUAAUGGGGCCGGGAAGACUUCUUUUAUCAGUAUGAUGAUUGGUCUCACUAAGCCAACAUCUGGUGCGGCAUAUGUUCAAGGCCUGGACAUAAAAACUCACAUGGAUGGAAUAUAUACUAGCAUGGGAGUAUGACCACAGCAUGACUUGCUGUGGGAAAGCUUGACAGGUAGAGAGCACCUACUUUUUUAUGGUCGGCUUAAAAAUCUUAAAGGUCCCGUCUUGACUCAAGCAGUAGAAGAAUCUUUGAAGAGUUUAAACCUUUUCCAUGGAGGGGUUGCUGAUAAACAAUCUGGAAAAUACAGUGGAGGGAUGAAGAGGAGGCUUAGUGUUGCAAUUUCAUUGAUUGGGGACCCCAAACACAUUCUAUGGAAGAGGCAGAGGCACUAUGUGAUCGAUUAGGAAUAUUUGUAAAUGCUAGCUUGCAGUGCAUUGGAAAUCCAAAAGAGCUGAAAGCGAGAUAUGGAGGAAUCUAUGUGUUCACA